rnacentral:rRNA from 1 species
CCUACGGGAGGCAGCAGUAGGGAAUUUUGCGCAAUGGGCGAAACCCUGACGCAGCAACGCCGCGUGAGUGAUGAAGCUCUUCGGAGUGUAAAGAUCUGUCAGUGGGGAAGAACAUUCACGGUCCCCACCGACGAUGCAUCGGCUAACCCCGGGCCAGCAGCCUCGGUAAUACGGGGGCUGGCAGCGUUGUCCGGAAGCAUUGGGCGUAAAGAGUUCGUAGGUGGCACGUUAAGUCUGGGGGUAAAUGCACGGGCUCAACCUCUGUUCGGCACUGGAUACUGGCGAGCGUGAUUGCGGUAGAGGUAAGGGGAAUGCCAGGUGUAGCGGUGAAAUGCGUAGAUAUCAGGAGGAACAUCGGUGGCGUAAGCGAUUAACUGGGACGUAAUUGACACUGAGGAACGAAAGCCAGGGUAGCAAACAGGAUUAGAUACCCCAGUAGUC